AGAGUUUGAUUCUGGCUCAGGAUGAACGCUAGCGACAGGCUUAACACAUGCAAGUCGAGGGGCAGCAUAAAAGUAGCAAUACUUGGUGGCGACCGGCGCACGGGUGAGUAACGCGUAUGCAACCUACCUAUCAGAGGGGAAUAACCCGGCGAAAGUCGGACUAAUACCGCAUAAAACAGGGGCACCGCAUGGUGAUAUUUGUUAAAGAAAUUCGCUGAUAGAUGGGCAUGCGUUCCAUUAGGUAGUUGGUGAGGUAACGGCUCACCAAGCCGACGAUGGAUAGGGGAACUGAGAGGUUGGUCCCCCACACUGGUACUGAGACACGGACCAGACUCCUACGGGAGGCAGCAGUGAGGAAUAUUGGUCAAUGGGCGGGAGCCUGAACCAGCCAAGUCGCCGUGAAGGAAGAAGGAUCUAUGGUUCGUAAACUUCUUUUGCAGGGGAAUAAAGUGCAGGACGUGUCCUGUUUUGUAUGUACCCUGAGAAUAAGGAUCGGCUAACUCCGUGCCAGCAGCCGC
rnacentral:rRNA from 1 species